CAAUAAGCGGAGGAAAAGAAACUAACGAGGAUUCCCCUAGUAACUGCGAGUGAAGCGGGAAAAGCUCAAAUUUAAAAUCUGGCGGUCCUUGAUCGUCCGAGUUGUAAUUUAGAGAAGCGUCUUCCGCGCCGAACCGUGCACAAGUCUCCUGGAAUGGAGCGUCAUAGAGGGUGAGAAUCCCGUCUUUGGCACGGAACCCCCGGUGCUUCUGUGAUGUGCUCUCGAAGAGUCGAGUUGUUUGGGAAUGCAGCUCAAAAUGGGUGGUGAACUCCAUCUAAAGCUAAAUAUUGGCGAGAGACCGAUAGCGAACAAGUACCGUGAGGGAAAGAUGAAAAGCACUUUGGAAAGAGAGUGAAACAGUACGUGAAAUUGUUGAAAGGGAAACGCUUGGAGUCAGUCGCGUCGCCCGAGACUCAGCCUCGCCUCGGCUUGGUGUACUUCUCGGCUGACGGGCCAGCAUCGAUUUCGCCCCUCGGAUAAUGGCAAGGGAAAGGUGGCACCUUUGCGGGUGUGUUAUAGUCUCCUGUCGCAUGCGAGGGGUGGGAUCGAGGAACUCAGCACGCGCCUCUCGGUGUCGGGGCUUUGGCCCACGUCACGUGCUUAGGAUGUUGGCGUAAUGGCUCUAAACGACCCGUCUUGAAACACGGACCAAGGAGUCUAACAUGCCCGCGAGUGUUCGGGUGAAAAACCCGUGCGCGAAAUGAAAGUGAAAGUUGGGACCUCUGUCGUGGAGGGCACCGACGCCCGGACCAGACCUUCUGUGACGGAUCUGCGGUAGAGCGUGCAUGUCGGGACCCGAAAGAUGGUGAACUAUGCCUGAAUAGGGUGAAGCCAGAGGAAACUCUGGUGGAGGCUCGUAGCGAUUCUGACGUGCAAAUCGAUCGUCAAAUUUGGGUAUAGGGGCGAAAGACUAAUCGAACCAUCUAGUAGCUGGUUCCU
rnacentral:rRNA from 1 species